rnacentral:rRNA from 1 species
AUUGAACGCUGGCGGCAUGCUUUACACAUGCAAGUCGAACGGCAGCGGGGAGGAGCUUGCUUCUCUGCCGGCGAGUGGCGAACGGGUGAGUAAUACAUCGGAACGUGUCGAGAAGAGGGGGAUAACCACCCGAAAGGGUGGCUAAUACCGCAUAAAUUCUGAGGAAGAAAGCUGGGGACCUAGGAAUAGGCCUAGCGCUUUUUGAGCGGCCGAUGUCGGAUUAGCUAGUUGGUGAGGUAAAGGCUCACCAUGGCGAAGAUCUGUAGCGGGUCUGAGAGGAUGAUCCGCCACACUGGGACUGAGACACGGCCCAGACUCCUACGGGAGGCAGCAGUGGGGAAUUUUGGACAAUGGGGGCAACCCUGAUCCAGCCAUGCCGCGUGUAUGAAGAAGGCCUUAGGGUUGUAAAGUACUUUUGUUAGGGAAGAAAAGUCAGCUGUGAAUAAUGGCUGAUACUGACGGUACCUAAAGAAUAAGCACCGGCUAACUACGUG